GUGGGAAUCUACCCAGUAAUACGGAAUAACAGUUGGAAACAGCUGCUAAUACCGUAUGUCCUCCUUGGAGGAAAGGAGCAAUACUAAGUUUCAAUAGACUCUUAUAUAAUUGAAACUUAGUAUUGCUCCGUUACUGGAUGAGCCCGCGUUGGAUUAGGUAGUUGGUAGGGUAAUGGCCUACCAAGCCGACGAUCUAUAGCUGGUCUGAGAGGAUGGUCAGCCACACUGGGACUGAGACACGGCCCAG
rnacentral:rRNA from 1 species